GAUGAACGCUGGCGGCGUGCCUAAUACAUGCAAGUCGAGCGAACAGAUAAGGAGCUUGCUCCGUUGACGUUAGCGGCGGACGGGUGAGUAACACGUGGGUAACCUACCUAUAAGACUGGAAUAACUCCGGGAAACCGGGUCUAAUGCCGGAUAACAUUUAGAACCGCAUGGUUCUAAAGUGAAAUAUGGUUUUGCUAUCACUUAUAGAUGGACCCGCGCCGUAUUAGCUAGUUGGUAAGUUAACGGCUUACCAAGGGAACGAUACGUAGCCGAACUGAGAGGGUGAUAGGCGCCACUGGAACUGAGACACGGUCCAGACUCCUACGGGAGGCAGCAGUAGGGAAUCUGACGCAAUGGGCGAAAGCCUGACGGAGCAACGCCGCGUGAGUGAUGACGGUCUUCGGAUCGUAAAACUCUGUUAUUAGGGAAGAACAAAUGUGUAAGUAACUGUGCACGUCUUGACGGUACCUAAUCAGAAAGCCACGGCUAACUACGUG
rnacentral:rRNA from 1 species